rnacentral:ncRNA from 1 species
AGAGGUGCGCUGAUUUCAGCGAUAAUAGGGAAUAUGAGUGAAAUUCUCAAACAGACCUUGCUGCCGUGACGCCGAGUGUUUGGCUUAUACCACUGAGUUUUCUUGGGAAGGUGCCAAAUAUGCUGAAGCUAAGUCGGAAGACCUGCCUUUAUCUG